rnacentral:rRNA from 1 species
GACGAACGCUGGCGGCGUGCCUAACACAUGCAAGUCGAGCGCCGAAGCUUGGUACUUGUACUGUUAGGAGGAGCAGCGGACGGGUGAGUAACGCGUGGGGCAUCAGCUUUUGUGUGGGGGACAAUAUUUGGAAACGAAUGCUAAUACCGCAUAAAAACUUUAAACACAAGAUUUAAGUUUGAAAGAUGCAAUUGCAUAAUUCAAAGAUGAUUGCGCGUUGUAUUAGGUAGUUGGUUAGGGAAAGGCCCAACAAGGCGAUGAUACAUAGGCGACCUGAGAGGGUGAUCGGGCACAAUGGGACUGGGACAAGGCCCCAGCCCCCUACGGGAGCAGCAAUAGGGGAAUUUCGGCAAAGGGCCGAAAUCUUGCCGCACCACGCCGCCGUAGUUGAAAAGGGCUUUGGAGUGUUAAAGUCUGUUUGUAGGGGAGAACGAGGGUGAGAGUGGAACGCUCAUCAAGUGACGGUAACUACACAAAAAGCAACGGCUAACUACGUG